rnacentral:rRNA from 1 species
AACGAACGCUGGCGGCAUGCCUAAUACAUGCAAGUCGAACGAGAACUUCGGGACUAGUGGCGCACGGGUGCGUAACGCGUGGGAACAUGAACUUAGGUUCGGAAUAACUACCCGAAAGGGGUGACAAUACCGGAUAAUGUCUUCGGACCAAAGAUUUAUCGACUUUGGAUGGGCCAGCGUUGGAUUAGCUAGUUGGUAGGGUAAAAGCCUACCAAGGCGCCGAUUCAUAGCUGGUCUGAGAGAAUGAUCAGCCACACUGGGACUGAGACACGGCCCAGACUCCUACGGGAGGCAGCAGUGGGGAAUAGUGGACAGUGGGCGGAAGCCUGAUCCAGCAAUGCCGCUUGAGUUAUGAAAGCCUUAGGGUUGUAAAGCUCUUUUACCCGGGAUGAUAAUGACAGUACCGGGAGAAUAAGCUCCGGCUAACUCCGUG